rnacentral:lncRNA from 1 species
AGUUGUCUUCAAGAAUGAGUCCCUGAGGUGAGUUUUCAGUGAGUAAUUUUCCCCCUAAAGUCAGCAUGAGAUCGUUAGAGACCUCUUUGGCCAACACCUCAAGGAAAUGCAAACCUUUCUUCACAGUGCUGGCUAUAAAGAUGGCCAGUUCAGAAACUCCUUUAGUCGGGGUCAAUAGGAUCGCCCUCAUUGUUUCCUGAAGGUUUUCAGUACACUGGGUUCCUAUACUAACCUGGAAAUUCCCCCUAAUUCCAGCUCUUUCUUCUUGCAUCUCCUGCUUUCUUCCUACAUUCCCAUCUAAAUGAUCCCUCCCACUUCUUUUCACAUUCACCCCAAUCUAACCAUGGAAUCUGUUCUUUUUCCCCUUUCCAGAAAGGUGCAUGCUUCCCUCUCUAUCUCUCCUCUUCCUCUAACCUAUCAGGGUCUGUAGAAGGUAGCAGCUGAGUGAUAGUCCAUGGUGUCAAUGUACCUUUUUUUUUUUUCAUCCAUUCUUCAGCUGUGGGACAUAUAAUCUUGUUUUUAGUAUUUGGCUAGUACAAAUAAAUCUCCUAUCAACAGAGUUGAUCAAGUCUUCCUGUGGUAUUGUAGAUGGAGAAACUUUUACACCUAUGCAUGUCUUAGGUGUUUAUUGCUGUGAAAAGACAAGAUGACGAAGGCACCUCUUAUAAGGACAACAUUUAAUUGAGGCUGGCUUACAGAUUCAGAGAUUCUUUCCAUUAUCGUCAAGGCAGGAGCAGCAACAUCCUUCCAGGCGUGGGGCAGGCGGAGCUGAGAGUAGAUUGGCUCCCAGGCAGCUAGCAUAUAGGUUUUAAAGUCCAAGCCCACAGUGGCACACCUGCUCCAACAAGGUCACAACUACUCCAACAAUACCACACCUCCUAAUAAGGCCACUAUCUGAGUCAAGAAUAUCCAGACCACCAUAAUGCCAAAAGAGAGUGGUAUAUCUGGGUAUUGGGGUAGAUGGAUUCCCCUUUUUCUGACAACCAUGAUAUUGAUUUACAGUGUCUGUUUUACUUUGCACUCUCACAACCUGUAGAGGUGUGGUCUCAUUGAUCUAUAUUCUCUUUAAUAAGAACAGUCACUUCUGUUAUUGAUCUUAACUAUUCUGACAUUUUUAAUGACAUAAAAGGUUUCCUUUCCAUUUCUAUAAUGUUGAAUAUUUGUUUCUAAGCCAUUGAAGAUACCUCUGUUUAGAAGUCUUUGUUUAUAUAUGAACCCUGCUUUUUAUCUGUUUUUGUUCGUUUUUAUUUUGACUAUCUAGAUUCUCGAGUCAGUAUAUAUUUUUGUAUAUUAUGUCUCAUAUUUUUAUAUUAUAUAACACUAUGAGAUGUGGAUAUGGCAAAAAUCUUUUCCCAUUUUUUAGACUGUCUCUUGUCCCACUGACUGGAUUUUUGCCUUCCAGAAACAUCACAGUUGCAUGAUGUCCAAUUUACUAAUUACUGAUCUUAUUGCCUGAGCUAUUCGUGUUCUUCCCAUAAGAACAGUAAUGUGUCUCCUGUGACAGUGCACUCAAGGCCAUUGCCCGCUUUCUCUUCUAUCAGGUCCUGUGUGUCUGGUUUUAUUUUAAGUGUUUAAUCCUCUUGGACAUCUAUUUUGUUCAGGGUAAAGAAUAUAGACUUGUUUGCAUUCUUCUGCAUGUAGUGCAUGUUAUCGUUUAACAAACACCACUUGUUGAAGGUGCUGUGGGGUUUUUGGUAUGUUUUGUUUGUUUCUUUGUUUAUUGUUGUUGGCUUUUUUUGUAUGUUUUUUGAUUCCUUAGCAAUCACCAGGUGUGUGUAUGUCAUAGGAAUUAUAUCUGUGUCUACAUCUCUAUUCCAUUAAUCAACUGUCUGUUUGUGUGCCAAUAUGUUGCACGUAUUUUAUUGUAAUAGAUGGCUUUGGCUCUCCUGGGUUUUUGUCCUAGGAGCUGGAAACUAUCCUUUCAAGGUCUAUUACUAUCUACUUUUUUAAUUUUGAAGGGGAUUUUAUGGAAUUUGUAGAUUACUUUUGGCAAGAUGGCUAUUAAUCAUACUAAUCUAUGAGCAUGAGAGAUUUCCUCAUCUUCUUAUAUCUGCUUCAGUUUCUUCACAUAAUUGAACUUUUUUAUUAUUUUUUGGUUUUUCUGUUUGUUUGUGUGUUUGUUUGUUUGUUUGUUUUGCUCUAGACAGGGUUUAUCUGUGCAGUCCUGGCUGUCCUGGAACUCACUCUGUAGACCAGGCUGGCCUCGAUCUCAAAAAUCCACCUGCCUCUGCCUCCCAAGCACUGGGAUUAAAGGCGUGUGCCACCACUGCCCGGCAUAGUUGAACUUUUUAUCAUGCAUGUACUUCAAUUUCAGUUUUAAAGUUACUGUAACCUUUUUACAUUAUUUGAAGCUGUUUUGUUUCUCUGAUUUUGCUUUGAGUCUAUUUGUCAUUUCUAUAUGGGAGACAUAGGAGAGGACUACUGAUUUACUUACUUAUUUAUAUAUUUAUUUGAUUGUUUGUUUAUUUAUUAGUUAACCUUGUAUCAAGCCAUUUUCCUGAAAGUAUUUAUAACCUAUAUAAAGUUGGUAUUGGAAUUUUUAGGGUCACUAAUGUAUAUUAUCGUAUGAUGAAUUCUAAUUAUGAUAUUUUGACUUCUUACUUUCCAAAUUAUUAUUUCAGAUUGUGGUUUUCUUCAUUUAUUUAAAGGUUUUGUGUUACCUGUUUAAGGGCUUCUACCUAUUUCUCUAUAUUCUCCUGUAUUUCUUUAGGGGAGAUAUUUAUUUCCUCCUUAAGAUCCUCUAUCAUUUCUGUGAGGUGGGAUUUUAGAUCAUAAUCUUGCUUUUCAAAUGGAUUACAAUAUCCAGCGUUUACUGUGUUGGGAGAAUUGGGUUGUGAUGUUGCCAAGUACCAUUGGUUUCUGUAACUUAUGUUCUUGUGUUUGCCUCACACCAUCCUGUUAUCUCUGUUGUUAUGUGACGUUGUUGUCUCUGACUGGUGCUUGUCCCUCCUAAGAACCUGGUUAUGUUGGGCCUCCUUGGAUCACGAUGUAUCUCGGUGUGGGAGGGGGUCUGGAGCACCUGAUCUGUGAUCCUGGCUGUGGCAGACAUCCUGGGAGUCAAGCUGACUCUGGGUCUAGGCGGAGCUAGUGUACUGGUGCAGUUCCAGGGCACUGUUUUAGACUAGAAGUGUGUAUCUCUGGCAGGGUGGGAGUUUCUGUGUCUUCUGUAUGUGGAAGACUCAGCUGUGAGUCUGGUAAUGUCAGAACUUCUGGGAGUCAUGCUGUGAGAUGUGUGCAUGGGAGGGAAGGGGGUGCUGGAGCACACAGUCUUAUGUCACUGUUUCUAAUGGGUGUUUUCUGUACUUAUGAAAGUGAUUGUGUGUAUGUGUGUGUGUGUGUGUGUGUGUGUGUGUGUGUGUGAGUAUGAGUGUGCACACAGGCAUGCAAGUUCAUGCCCUUUCAAGAAUUCCACAUAUAUAAAAGUAAAACAUGAAAAGUAAAAUUUCCAGAGCAUUUGAGAAUGCUCCCUGCUUUUACUGAUGACCCAAAUUGAAUACCUAGCAUUCAAAUCCUUUGGCAUCUGUCUUUAGAGUAUGGUAUCCAACUCUUUCUUCUGGCUUUCUGUGACUCUGAGAUUUGGUAGCUACCUGUGGGGAAAAAAAACAUCAAAUAAAAGGUGGAUUCCAUGUAGGUGAAGCAAGUAAUGGUUUUGGAUAGCCCAUAAGACCUAAAUAUUCCACACAGUUUAUUACCAAUAUAAAGUCUUCAGACCAGCAGGUUAAGCCAACACCCAAGUAUUUGGAGAUCUCGGUGUACUCUUGAGGAUCAAGAACACAGGGCAUUUAAAGGCCUUGUCCUCACAUCAGACUUAACAGCUUCUUGGAGAUGACACAUACAAUUUUAUAAUAGCUAAGUAAUUAUGAAAACCUGACCGUAGAAUGUUACAAUUAAUUUUGGUGUUUAUGCAUUGAAUUUGCCAUCAAGUGUAUCAAAUUUUAGUUAAAUCUGAAAUUACCUCAACAACUGGAGAAACCUUUGAAUGGACCUGCCAUUUCAAGGACUUAUGAAUUAGUCCAUAUGCUCUCAUCAACAUUCAAUUGUGUGUAAUGAUAUAUAAAGGAAAGCUUUUAUGUCUGGCUUUAAAUGAAAUGCAGAGUAAAUCCUUUGUGUUUGGAUGAGUGAAAUGUUUUGGUGAAGCAUUUGCUUAAUCAGUAAGUUUGGUUUAAUAAGUAUAGGCUGAGAAAUGGUUUUGAGACUGUUUGAACUUUGAGGAAAUGUUGUCUGCAUAGAAAUACACACUUGGUGAUAGGUGGAACUCGCACAGAAUUUGUUUCUAAGACACUCGUGGGCAAUCCUGAAGUUCUCACUUUUGGUUUUGCCUUGAGACUUGUGUGGCUUGUGUGUUCUCACAGACAGAAAGGGCAAUAAAACUUUAGCAGUUUGAACUUUCCCAGCUCCAAGUAACCUUGUAUAAUAUUUGAAAAAAAGGACUGAGUCAGCUAGCUGGGUGUCAGUGUUUCCAAGGAGGAUGAACCUCUCUGCACCUUUGGCAAAAUGAAGGCUUAGCAAUUUGUUGAGCUCCCUUCUCCACUGCUGGCACCUAAAAUCAACAAUUGUGAAUCAAGGCAGACCUAUAGCUAUGGAGCUAACAUGAUUUGGACAGUGAUGCCAGUCAUGUGGGCCACAAUAGGCCUUUCAUUUUUGUAGUUUAUUUUCCCAAUGUCUUAGGAACUUUUGUGAUUUGCUUCUAUAUUACUUUAUAGAAUGGCAUAAAAAUAUCAUUCUUACUCACACAGACCCCUGUACACUUCAUUGUCUGAAAUUGUUUGUUUAAAUCAUCUUUCAUUGCUUACAGUGUUCUCAAUUGUGUUUUGAGGGUUACAUAUCCCUUGGAAAAUACUGCACAUAUAUAUUGAAAAAAUAUUAGACCCUAUAGU